UCCAGGACAAUGUCUGGAGAACUUCCACCAAACAUUAACAUCAAGGAACCUCGAUGGGAUCAAAGCACUUUCAUUGGACGAGCCAAUCAUUUCUUCACUGUAACUGAUCCCAGGAAUAUUCUGUUAACCAACGAACAACUAGAGGAUGCAAAGAAAGUAGUGCAUGAUUACAGGCAAGGAAUUGUUCCUCCGGGUCUCACAGAAAAUGAGUUAUGGAGAGCAAAGUACAUCUAUGAUUCAGCUUUUCAUCCUGACACUGGUGAAAAGAUGAUUUUGAUAGGAAGGAUGUCAGCUCAGGUUCCAAUGAACAUGACCAUCACAGGUUGUAUGAUGACAUUCUAUAGGACCACGCCGGCAGUGCUCUUCUGGCAGUGGAUCAACCAGUCCUUCAAUGCCGUGGUCAAUUACACCAACAGAAGUGGAGAUGCUCCCCUCACUGUAAAUGAAUUGGGAACAGCUUAUGUUUCUGCAACAACAGGUGCUGUAGCAACAGCUCUAGGACUCAAUGCAUUAACCAAGCAUGUCUCUCCGCUCAUAGGACGCUUUGUUCCCUUCGCUGCGGUAGCUGCUGCUAAUUGCAUUAAUAUUCCAUUAAUGAGGCAAAGGGAACUCAAAGUUGGCAUUCCUGUCACAGAUGAAAAUGGGAACCGCCUGGGCGAGUCGGCAAACGCUGCCAAACAAGCCAUCACGCAAGUAGUCGUCUCCAGGAUCCUCAUGGCAGCCCCCGGCAUGGAUGAGGAAAACAGAAAACUGAGGCUCAGAGAAGUGUUUUCCAGGAUCACCCAGCUAGCAAGUGGUCUGCGUGACUCAAAGCAGGAAUCUUUAUACUGGACUCUACGUGGGAUGGACACCCCGGGAAGGCUGCAUUUAUUUCAUUGCCAUCCCUCCAUUUAUCAUGAACACUUUGGAAAAGAAAGCCUUUCUCAAGAGGUUCCCAUGGAUGAGCGCGCCUAUUCAAGUUGGAUUAGUUGGCUUCUGUUUGGUAUUUGCUACACCUCUGUGCUGUGCUCUGUUUCCUCAGAAAAGUUCCAUGUCUGUGACAAGCUUGGAGGCCGAGCUGCAAGCCAGGAUCCGAGAGACCCAUCCUGAAUUACGGCGCGUGUACUUUAACAAGGGAUUAUAAAGUAGGGAAAGAAACAUCUUCAGAGGAUCCUACCAACCGCAAGUGUGGUAUAACCAAGUUGAAGCAAGAGAACAGUUCCAUCUGCCUACAUGUCUUUUCUUGUCAUCCUCGUAGAUCUCUUUGGCUUUCAGAAAGAUACGGAAAUAAUGUGUAUGUGAAUCAAUGACUCAAUGAGUUUUACUUGAAUGUUGUAUAUUACAUUCCACCCUGUUUGAAAAUAAUGAACCCGUGGACCACUGUUUACAUCAUCUGUAGUAGCUUCACAUAUAAUAUAUUUAAUGUUAACAGAUUAUGUUUCAAUUCUGUAGAGGUUCAAAGGCAUAUGUGAGGUGUUCAUUUCACUGAGUGUAGACCACUCGAUUCAAUUUGUAAUUCAGAGACUUAUAAGUGGAAAAAAAAUGUAGAAACUAGUUUGGGCAAAUUUUUCCUGACAAUGUGACCAGACUGAAUUUCCUCAUAAAGAAAAAAUGGUGUGCCUUGUGUCUGUGUUUCUCUUUUCUCUAAAACGAUGAAUGGACCUGAAGCUUUUGGGCCACUCUGAGCCUUCCUUUAUACUGCCAGAAUAUUCUCAUUUAGAUUUUCUUUCUUAAGCCAUUUGAAGCAAAAGAGCUUCCCCAUGAUAUUCUGGCCUUGGAUGUCUUUUGUUGCCGUAGAUGCUUCUCUUUAAAAAUGUGUCAAAGCAAGAAAUUCAAGGCAGAGCUCCACAAGGUCCUUAAAGGGCACUUUUAACAAGAAACUAAAGCACUUGAGGCCUACCGCAUUCGCCCCAUCUAAUCUCAGAAUUCUUACCCCCAGUCAAGUGGCAGCUCCAUGUCAAAAUCUUAACCUUCAUUGAAAAAUUAAUGAAUACCUGGUUGGAAGAUUGACAAACUAACCACAAUUUUAAUACACACCAGGAUGAGAUGACCAAAGGAUCAUUAUAAAAGGGAUAAUGAGCCUGGAGAUGUGUGUUUUUAAACAUUA